UACAGAGGUCCCAAGCGUUGUUCGGAUUCAUUGGGCGUAAAGGGUGCGUAGGCGGCGCGGUAAGUCGGGUGUGAAAUCUCGGGGCUUAACUCCGAAACUGCAUUCGAUACUGCCGUGCUUGAGGACUGGAGAGGAGACUGGAAUUUACGGUGUAGCAGUGAAAUGCGUAGAUAUCGUAAGGAAGACCAGUGGCGAAGGCGGAUCUCUGGACAGUUACUGACACUGAGGCACGAAGGCCAGGGGAGCAAACGGG
rnacentral:rRNA from 1 species